ACCCCCAGGUCUAUUUCUAAGCAGUGUGCUCCAUCCCAGCUUCCCACACCCGGUGGCUCCAUGGCAGUUCUGGAGCAGCCACUGUCUCUCAGGGAGCCGGGAAUCCAGGAUGCCCGCUCUGCAGGCUGAGUGCUGUCUGCCUGGUUCACUGACUCCAUACCCAGGACCCACAGCCAGCCGUGGUCGGGUGAUGCCCUCCACAUUCCAAUACCUGGAAGCAGCAAUUCCUGUGAGCACUGUGCCUUUUAUGGUAAGACUUUAGGGAAAUAACAGCAGAAUGAGCAGAGAAUGAUGGCACCCCCUUCCACAUGCUUUUUACUGAAUGUGGACUGGAACGUGGGGGGCCCUGCUGGCCUCCAUUUUGCAGGCCUCUGGUGGGAGCCUCUGAGAAGAAUUGGUCAACAACAACAACAAGAAAGUAUGUUUUGAAGUUGGAUUCUCUUGUGCUGUGCAGCCUCCUCCUCUGGACUUAAAAAUGGCCAUACUGGUAUCAGCCAUCGGUCUGCGAAGGGCUAAAGGUCCGGGGCACCUGCUGAGUGUGGCUGUACACCAAGUCCUCUCUCAACUCGCUCUUAGGACAAAUGCUGGUGCUUCUCAGGCUGGAUCUGACUGGCUUCUGGCUUUCACAGAACCGGAAUAAGCCGGAAUGAGCCGGAAUGGCCUCUAGAGAUGCUCUGAGGUCGGCAGGCCAGACCAUUCCUCCUGGAGCCUCUGCUUCACCGAAUUCUGAUGGAUCCCUGCCCACUCUGCUUGGCCUGUGCCCCUCCUGGCACCAUCUGCCUGAGCCUGGGCUGGCGCUCUGUCAGCCUUUGCAACACAGCUAUGAGACUUGGAAAGCUGGAGUUUGGUUUAGCAGAGAAAUGCAUUUGAAAUCUUCCCUCUAGGCCCCCCUCUUUCUGUUCCCCCUCCUCACCUCCCUCCAGGACCAAUUUAUCUGCCAGUCCAGCCUCCAAGAGGAGCUGGGGCCAAGUUGGAGACCUGCUUAUGCUUGUCAGCCUCUGUGGCCAGAUGACAAGAGAGCAGCCCACAGCUGGGAGAGGACUGGGAAGUCCCCGUGUGCAGAGCGUGCUUAACAGGGGGGCGGGCAGGUCAGAAGCUUCCCCCUGGCUGCAAAGGAGGUGUGGAGGACAGCUCCCUGGAGUUCCAUUCUUGGCCUCUUUGCACCUGCGCACAGUCCCUGGUGGUGCUGCACCCUCACAAGGGCUCCACGCCUAUUUCUAGCUCCUGCCUUCUCUGCAGAGUUCCAGGCCUGUGUUUGGCUCUAUCUACUUGGAAGACUCACAGGUUCUUCAAAACCAACCAACGUGAAGCCAGUUUGUCCUGACUUUUACCCCAAACCUGAUGACUGCUUCAUCCCCUGUCUUGAGAAGUCUCCACUGCCCACCCAUUGUCUAAACCAGGUACCCAGAAGUCCUUCUUGAUGACUGCCCAUCACCUGCCCGGGGUCCUAUCCAGCAGUGCAUCCUAGUGCCCCUCCCACUGUACCCCGGCUGUAGUUCAGGAUUUGCUCAGCUCUGGUCUUGCUGCUCCGAAGCCCCCACUGGCCACUCAGCCCUGCCAUAAGGCCCAUCAUGCAGCUCCCCUUCCCUCUAACCUGCUUCAAGUCCAUUCCCCAAACUGCCACAAGGCCCCUUCUCCUUGAGCCAAUAGAACUCAUUCUCUCCCCGGGUGAACACACACCAGGGCUCUGCAUGCCUUCUUACAACAAACUGCGUGGUGGGCGCACCAGCCUUCCCCAUCUGACUCUGUGUGCUGCCCACCUGGUGGUUGUGCUGGAGGUUUUGAAGAGUGAGACUUUGGCCCCAGGUCUCCUGCCUGAGAGCUGCGUAAACCUAGAGCCUUGUCUCACAGAGCCCCUGUUCCCACAGCAUUAAAGUGGAGAUGACAGAGUCCCUCCUGGAGAGCCGGUCUAGCCAUUCAGUGAGUCAGCAGCACAGCUCCUCCAGCACGCAGAGAACAGCGGUCCAUGGAGGGAGGGCGUGAGCCUGGGGUUUUACUGAGGAAGGAUAGUGGGUUUUUCAGUCCCUGAAGCUGCUGCUCUGCCCACUCAGGAAGGUGAGGAAGGCAGACGACAGCGUACAUCCAGCCUCUGCUCUGCCAGGGUCGUUGAUGCCCUUUGGAAUGGAGAGCUGUGAAGGGGAAUGCCUAGGCCUCACAGAGGAGGCUCGUGACCCGGACAGGUGUGGGACUAGGGGCCAUGUCUGUAGCUCCCCUGCCACGGAGCAGAAUCUGCCUCUCCAUAAGCGUUAAGCUCUGGGGACUGUGACAUCCACGCUGGGCCUGGCUCCUGCCUUCCGCCUCCUGCCCAGCCCCUGCCAGCAGCACAUGGUGGAGACCGGUUGCCCAAAGCUCUUGUUCUCAGAUGUGGGCAGAACGGGAAUCUGCCAUGUGCCCGUGGAUUAAAAAAAAGAAACCCAGGCUGCUUUUCUGUCUGUUAGAAGGAGCCUGCACUUCAAGAUAGUGGGGAUGUAUAUUUUAAAAAAUUUCACGCUCAUGGGCCAAAGAUUUUCCCGGGGCUGUGUGCUGAUUUGCAGCCUAUCAUGUGUGGCUUUGGGACACUGGGGAAGGUGUGGAGCAGUUUAAGUGACAAACGGGUUGGAAAAGCAAAGGACACCAGGUGAGGAUGAUGGAAUUUACAUCCUGUUGCUUCCCUGAUAGUUCCUGCCAAUAUGGGAUCCCACUACUAUCUUUCUGCCCUAAAAAUAUGUGUAUAUUGAGAUAGAAACUGUUGUAAUGGCUGCAUGCAUUCAGUAGAGGAAAGGAGAGAAGAAAGAAGGAACAGAUUUAGUCCUGCCCAGAAUCUGCACUUCCACGGAGGACGCCAGGAUAUCACGGGAGAGACUGCAGCUCUGAUCAAAUGGGGCGAGCUCUUGGCAGGAGCCAGCAUGUUCCUGUGUUCCAUUUGGGAGGACAGUUUACUUUAAUGAUGUACUUUGAAAUCAGGUGGACGUCUGUAACUCCUGGACCUUUCGCAGCCUUUCCAGCCACGGUCAUCUCUGUGGAGUCAGGGGCAGGGACUUUGGGAUCAGCUUCUGCCCUUGUGAAAACAGCAGAGCAGCCUGAGAGCCAGGAAGGACCUCACCUGAGUAUCAGAUCACCUCAUCAGGCUGAAUUGUGUGGAUCUAGGGAUUUUAAAGAGGUGAUUAAGGUAAAAUGAGGUUAUUAGGGUGGCCCUUGACCCAGUGUGACUGGUAUCCUCAUAAGAGGAGAUUAGGACACAGCCACACAGAGGGACGACCACCUGAGGAUCCCUGAGAAGAUGGCAUCUGGAAGGUGAGGAGAGAGGCCUCAGAAGGAAUCAACUCUGCUGAUACUUGAUGCCAACUUCCAGCCUCUGAAACUGCGAGCAAGGUGGUUUGUUAUUCAGCAAUGGAUAAUUAGAGCACUGACUCACCUUGAUGGGCCUCAUCAUCAUUCAUCCAGAAAUCUUUUAUUGAGAAAAAUAAUAUUUGCCAUGUUGUGCAAGGAGUUGGGGUUGCAAAGCUGGGUGCUGUGAUCUAUAACACAAGGCAGCAGGAUUGUCUGACCUCCGAGAGCCAUGUGCCCUGGGAUCAUCUGGCCACAGUUAUCUCACAGAAUUCCUAAUGCACAGUCUGUGUGGGAGGUGAUGCCGGAGUCCCCCCUCCCUCUGGGCUCCUCCCCGUGCUCUGCUCACAUCACUGGGGGGUUGGCGGCAGCCUGCUGAGUCCUUUCGACCCUCAGCCCGCUCUCCAGCACUCAGACUGGCCGAAACCUGUGCCGCUGGCUCCACCCUCAGGUCUCCCCACUCCUCUCAUUAGCCACCGGCCUUCUCAGCCUUCUCUUAUUCUUGUGACUCUUGCCUGACCCUGCCUCAGCUCUGUGUCCUCCCAGACUGCUGACUGUGAGGCUUUGCCCAGCGGAUUUUCCAUCGCCAAAUUAGAGCUUUUCUUUCCUCGCCUGACUGCUCCCUGUCACUGUCUUCUGUAUCUUCCUGUUCCUGAUUUUGGCUGGCUAUCAAGAGAAGAAGAUCUACAAUCAUCCUAUCUCUCAUGGCACCUUACCAUGUGCAACUCCCUCGUAUCUAAUACCUCACUUCACCUUUUCUGUUCUUCUAUUUAUGAGCUACGUGAUGUCAGACAAGGCACUUAACUACUCUGGGCUUUGGCUCCCUUAUUUAACGAUAGGUAUCAUAAUAAUACCUGUCCUGUCCAAUUUA
rnacentral:lncRNA from 1 species